rnacentral:rRNA from 1 species
AUGAACGCUGGCGGCGUGCCUAAUACAUGCAAGUCGAGCGAACGGACGAGAAGCUUGCUUCUCUGAUGUUAGCGGCGGACGGGUGAGUAACACGUGGAUAACCUACCUAUAAGACUGGGAUAACUUCGGGAAACCGGAGCUAAUACCGGAUAAUAUUUUGAACCGCAUGGUUCAAAAGUAAAAGACGGUCUUGCUGUCACUUAUAGAUGGAUCCGCGCUGCAUUAGCUAGUUGGUAAGGUAACGGCUUACCAAGGCAACGAUGCAUAGCCGACCUGAGAGGGUGGUCGGCCACACUGGAACUGAGACACGGUCCAGACUCCUACGGGAGGCAGCAGUAGGGAAUCUUCCGCAAUGGGCGAAAGCCUGACGGAGCAACGCCGCGUGAGUGAUGAAGGUCUUCGGAUCGUAAAACUCUGUUAUUAGGGAAGAACAUAUGUGUAAGUAACUGUGCACAUCUUGACGGUACCUAAUCAGAAAGCCACGGCUAACUACGUG